UACGAAGGGGGCUAGCGUUGCUCGGAAUCACUGGGCGUAAAGCGCACGUAGGCGGCUUUUUAAGUCAGGGGUGAAACCCUGGAGCUCAACUCCAGAACUGCCUUUGAUACUGAGAAGCUUGAGUCCGGGAGAGGUGAGUGGAACUGCGAGUGUAGAGGUGAAAUUCGUAGAUAUUCGCAAGAACACCAGUGGCGAAGGCGGCUCACUGGCCCGGUACUGACGCUGAGGUGCGAAAGCGUGGGGAGCAAACAGG
rnacentral:rRNA from 1 species